UCUCAAAGUGCUGAGCCUACUUUGGGGCUGCUUCCUUGUGGGGGUAAUUAAACUUUGGAACAUUAAGACACAGGCUGGAGGAGAUAUUGGAUAGACGGUUAUUUCUCUAUAAAUUUCCCUCCCAUUCUACAAAA
ensembl:snoRNA